CAGAAAAUAGUUUAUAUAAAAUAUUAAUUUUGGGGAUUAAAGAAAAGUUAAUUAAUUUUUUUCUGA
rnacentral:tRNA from 1 species